GAUCGACUUGAAGCUUUGUAGUUCAUAACGCGCAAACGGCCCACAGGUGCAUCGGUACGUAUGUUGUAUACAUGCCAGACCAAGUGUAAUCGCCUCUUAUUUCGUGCGAAAACAGAAGAUGAAAGGAUAUGGAAAGUAUAUACGAUACAAUAUACUUCUUGAGAUGGAACAAGAAUUUCACACGGCUUCUUCGAACAAUAUCAAAGAAUUAGAAAGGAGAAGAAGGGUCAUAAAUAGAGAAAAGGAGAGAAAUGGACAAAAGUUUGAUCAAUCUUGGAAAAAUUCAUAGAAUUUCAUCUUGAAGACCCUUGGACGAUUGUAAUGAAGAUCAUUGUAGUAGAACAAUGAAGAAAGAAUCUUAUGGUGAAUAUUGGAAGAUUUAUAAGAUGCCAAGAUAAUUUGUUGUUAAGGGAAUGAAAAGAAAGAAAAUAAAGGAUAAGUCCGAAAUAUGCUACCACAAAUCAAGAAAUUUAAUUUUAGAAAAACAACAAUUUAUUCUUCUUGUUUCUGCACUUAAAAGUAAUAAUUGCCCUGCAUAAUUUAAUAUAUUUCAAUUAAAUUGAAUUUUUAUCGUUAACAACUUAAAUCGAUAAAAUCACAUAAUUUAAUAAAAAUUUCGUGUAAAUUAAAUGUUUUAAUGAGAUAAAACGUACAAUUUGAAAUUCAUCGAUUCGGUUAAACUAAACUUUGCUAGGUGCAAAUUUCUACCUGGACGUGUCAUAAAUAAGGGAUUUUAAAGAUUCCAACGGUUUAAGAGAAAGUAAAAGAACAAACUUUUGAAGAAAUUGCUUGAUCACCCACCGCUAUUGAAAAUACUUGCCCCUCUUCUGGGCAAGGCUAGGUAAAAAAAGAGCCUCAAAUUCCAUUGGCAAUUUAAAUUGAUAUAUUCGAAAAAUUGGCCAAUCAACGCGCUUUAACAAAAUAUAAGGUCAACCUGAUAUAAUAUAAGAUAAACCCGAGCGAGGUGUCGAACAAAAGCAAAUCAACAAUCGAAGGAAUCACUUCAAAUCGGAGAUUAGCAUCGCUCGAGAAUUAUUCGAAUGGUUCUUCAUCAUCGAUAGAUACACAAAUUUUACUUUGCAAGAAUGUACAGAUUCUACUGAAAAAUUGACAAGCAAAAGUUGAGUUCAAUUUGUUCAGAACGGACGAAACGUGCUAUGGAUUGCAAGCUUGAACCACCAUCGUCCAUAUUCGUUAAGCAUAAUAUUCUAAUAAUGAGGAAAAAAUGGAAAAAACAAUGAUCUCUAAAAAUUAUAUUGGAGAUGUGUAUAAAGAAUCUUAUCUUUACUGAGACGGGUGCCACGACAAAAGAAAAAUUUUAUUAGAAAUAAGAAUGAUUAACCUACAUUUUCAAAAUGAUUGUAGGUGAAGCAAAAGAAAAUAAAUUAUAUAUUAAUAAUUCUCUACCUCCGUGUUAUCAUCAUUAUUUAAUUAAUCGUAGACAUCUUUAAAGAACUACCACUUCAUACGCGAAGAUCACGCCACGACAAAAGUGAUGAUCUUGUGACAAUGCAUUUUCAAAAUGAGUGUAAUUCAAGCAAAGGAAAAUAAAGAUUUUCUACCUCCGUAUUAUCAUCAUUAUUUAAUUAAUCGCAUAUCUGAGAAUGUAAGAUGAAAAUUACGCUAUGAUAAAAGAAUAAUUUUACGGAAUAAUUAUUAUGAUCAAUCUCACAUUUUCAAAAUGAUCGUAAUUCAAGCGAAAGAAAAUUAAGAUUUUCAUCAUGUUUAUAAUGCUAUAAUAAAAUAAUUAUUUAAUUAAUCACGUGAUAACAUCUUUAUUGCAAAGAAUUGCCAUCUCAUUCGGGAAGAGUGAGAAAAAUGAAGAAAAUUGCCACGAUACUAGUAUGAUCAAUCUAAAAGUUUAAAGAUGAGAUCGAAAAUCUACCAUCACUCUAUCAUCAUUCGUUGCCAUCAACUAUCAUCUAUCCUAGUUUAAAUCGAAGAUUAAAUCAAGUCUUAAUUCCUGUGACUUUACUUUAUUCGAGAAUAAUUUUUUACUCGAUAAAUUAUUAUUUUGCGAAGUAAAUUCUUAAUUUCUAAUUCUUAUUUAAAAUGGAUCAAAAAAGAAUUGGAAAUAAUUGAAAUUUAUAUAAGAAGAUAUGAAAAAAGAAUUCGCAUCGCAAGGGUUGUAUGUUAAUUAAAUAACGUAUGUUAAUUGAAUAAUCCAUGUCACAAAUUAUUAAGAGAUCGAUGAAUAUCUUUGAUUAAGAUCGAGACAUGGAUAUGAAUCUAUAAAUCUUAAAUAUAUGUAUUUAUAAAUAAAUCUUGAUUAUUUAGAUUGUUCUCAAUCAAGAUUAACACGAAUUGUUUGAAUUGAAUCAAAAAGAAGAAUGUUCUACAGAAAUUUGAUCAGCGUAAAUUCAACAUCUCGCCCAAAAUAUACAGAAUUGCAAACUCAAAUACACAAAAGAUACACAAGCUUCAUCCUGAUUCAUCGCUUCGUUUUGUAUGAUUCUAAUUAUGUAUAAGGGAGAGAUUUCAUUUUCAUCGACAAUCUUGACUACAUUUAAAAAUGAUUGCAGUUCAUACGUUUUACAAAUGUUUGAUCAUAGUUAAUAAAUUAAAAUAAUAAUUCUAUAAAAUUAAUGCAAUUUUAUUAAAUAUUCAGAUUUUACGAACAACAACUGAAUAAUAGUAAUUCAACAAUCAACCAGAAAGAUGCCACAGAUUGGAUAUGUAAAGCCAUCUUCUUUACGAUUUCUAUUAUAGAAAUUUUACUAUUAUAGAAAAUGAAUAUCUAAUUUUAUCACGAGUGACAAGUGAAAAUCUUGAUCAUAAUGGGACGAUUUUCUAUCAACAGAUCAACUUAAAUAACAUUUAAAAUGUUUGUACAUUGUAAAAUAAAAAGAAGAAUAUACGGUUUGCAUAUUUGGGUUUUUGAGAAAAGAUUGGACAAUAAAUAUUUAACUUGAACAAAAUGUGAUAUAAUAGACAAUAUAAUGAUACAGUUAAAUCGUGAACUCGACAAAGAGUUUGCGACUUCAUUCUACAUAAGGAUAAUGUUCUAAAUAACAGAUAAUCAUUUUAUCUGUAUAAAUAAAAAUCUCUAUCACAAAGAAGAUUUUCACUGUAAUCAGUAAUCAUUUGAACAUGGCAUAUUUUGUGUUAGAAAAUUAAAGGAAGAAUAUUAAUGACAAUUAAUUUGUCCAUAUUAUCACAAAUUUCAAUUAUUCAGAAACAAACACAGAAGAUUCAAUUAUUUGUCAAAAAAAUAAUAUGGACGGUUUGUGAUUGCAAAUUUUAAUCAUCAAGAUCCUUGGACGAUUUUAUAAGGAUGAUUUUUUUUACAAUAUUUAAAGUCAUCCUUUAAUUUAAUUAACAUGUUUCCAAUUUGAUUAAUUUAAAUUUCUAUUUUUCGCAAAACACGUACCGAGUGAAAACCUCAUAAAAGAUUUUAUGGAUAUCUUGACUACAUUUAAAAAUGAUUGUAAUUCAGAUUGGAAGAAUGGCAUUGAAUACCUUUGAAAUAUGAAUAUAUAAAUCAUCUUAUAAUAAUAGCCUGAAUUGAAAUUUAUAUGAACUUUCUAAUUUUAUUGAAUAUUCAGAUUCUGAAAAAAGAUUGAUUGGAUUUUUAAGCAAAAUUAAACAAUCUGUUCGAAAUGUGUCAUGGGCAAGACGUGCAACGCAUGGCAAAUUUAUAUUAUUAACUGCAUGGAGUUACAUACAUUUCAUUAUUACGACUUCAUUAUGUAGAACAAUUACGAAUCCAUAAAGAAAUUUACGAUGAAUAAAAAUCAUGUUAUUCAUUUCCAUGGAUCGGUAUAAAAUCUUAAUAGUUUUUACAAAAGCAAAUGUUCCAAUGAACAUACACGACUGAGAAUGUUAUAAUUGAUUAAAAUUGACAUCCCCAAAUUAGAAUCUGAGCUAUCAAUGUGCCAAACAUCAGGGGAAGCUACGGAAAAACUUGAUAAUAACAAAAAACAUUUUUCCAUAAAAAAAAAGCACAUUUUGAUAUUCUUCUAUAAAAGGACCAUUAUAUAUGGAUAUUAAUAUUUCUAUAGAUUUUCUUAUUUGGAUAUUCAACAUUUUUCUACAAAAUCAUUAAAUAUCGUGAUAUAUGAUAUGAUGAUAUAUCUUGUAUGGUUACGACAUGCUUUCAUCAUUGAAAUGUGUAAUUGAUUAAAAAAUCAAUUCACAAUUCCCAAAUUAAAAUCCAUUGUAAAAUCUUAAUGAAGAAUAUUGUUCAACAACUAUAACAAGAUAGUUACGACAUCAAUUCUUCUAAAAAAGGAGGAUUAGAUAUGAAUAUUAAUAUUUCUAUGAACCUAUCAGUUUGGAUAUCCAAACUUUCUGUAUAAAAAGUACCAGAUAUAAAUAUGGAUAUGAAUAUCCUGCAUAGCAACGAUUGUGAAGAUUUCAUUGUUGAAAUUUGCUGUCACAAUUGAUUAAAAAAUCGGUUGACAUUCCCAAAUUAUAAUCUACAUUAUCAGUGGGCUAUUAUCAAAAUUGUUAAUGCAAAACAUUUUUUCAACAAUUUACAGUAUCAAUGUGCUAUUGUGGAAAUCAUUAAUGCAAAACAUUUUUCCAACAAAAAAAAGAAAAAACAAUUUGAAUAUCCAAAGUAUCAAUUCUUCUAUACAAGGAUCAUUAGAUAGAUGAAUAUUAUCUCUAUAAAUCAGUUUGGGUAUUCAACAGCUUUUUGUAUAAAAAGUAUUAGAUAUAUGAAUGAAUAUGCAGCAUAGAAAUGAUUGUGAAGUUUUUAUCAUUGGAAUUUGCUAUCGUACAAUUGAUUAAAAAAUCGAUUGACGAUCCCCAAAUUAUAAUCUAUACUAUCAGUGCACCAAAAUUAGGCACUAUUAUUGAAAUUAUCAAUAAAAUAUUUUUCUAACGAAAGAAAGAGAAAACAAUUUGAACAUCCAAAGUCAAUUCUUCUAUAAAAAGAGCAUUGGAUAUUAAUAUAUAAUUUAAUUUUAAAAUAUAUACUUUUUAUAUACAUUUUACUUUCAAA
rnacentral:lncRNA from 1 species